rnacentral:rRNA from 1 species
UACGUAGGGUGCAAGCGUUGUCCGGAAUUAUUGGGCGUAAAGAGCUUGUAGGCGGUUUGUCGCGUCUGCUGUGAAAUUUCGGGGCUCAACCCCGAACUUGCAGUGGGUACGGGCAGACUAGAGUGUGGUAGGGGAGACUGGAAUUCCUGGUGUAGCGGUGAAAUGCGUAGAUAUCGGGAGGAACACCAGUGGCGAAGGCGGGCACCUGGGCUAACACUGACGCUGAUGCGCGAAAGCUAGGGGAGCAAACAGG